rnacentral:rRNA from 1 species
AGCGAACGCUGGCGGCAGGCCUAACACAUGCAAGUCGAACGAACCUUUCGGGGUUAGUGGCGGACGGGUGAGUAACACGUGGGAACGUGCCUUUAGGUUCGGAAUAACUCAGGGAAACUUGUGCUAAUACCGAAUGUGCCCUUCGGGGGAAAGAUUAUCGCCUUUAGAGCGGCCCGCGUCUGAUUAGCUAGUUGGUUGAGGUAAUGGCUCACCAAGGCGACGAUCAGUAGCUGGUCUGAGAGGAUGAUCAGCCACAUUGGGACUGAGACACGGCCCAAACUCCUACGGGAGGCAGCAGUGGGUGAUGUUGCGCAAUGGGGGAAAGCCUGACGCAGCCAUGCCGGGUGAAUGAUGAAGGUGUGAGGAUUGUAAAAUUCUUUCACCGGGGACGAUAAUGACGGUACCCGAAGGAGAAGCCCCGGCUAACUACGUG